rnacentral:rRNA from 1 species
AUUGAACGCUGGCGGCAGGCUUAACACAUGCAAGUCGAACGGUAACGGGGAGGGAGUUUACUUUCUCUGCUGACGAGUGGCGGACGGGUGAGUAAAGCUUGGGAAUCUGGCGAAUGGAGGGGGAUAGCCACGGGAAACUGUGGGUAAUACCGCGUAAGGUCUAAGGACUAAAGGGGUGGGACUGUGAGAGGCCACCUGCCAUUUGAUGAGCCCAAGUGGGAUUAGGUAGUUGGUGAGGUAAGGGCUCACCAAGCUGACGAUCUCUAGCUGGUCUGAGAGGAUGGCCAGCCACACUGGAACUGAGACACGGUCCAGACUCCUACGGGAGGCAGCAGUGGGGAAUAUUGCGCAAUGGGGGGAACCCUGACGCAGCCAUGCCGCGUGAAUGAAGAAGGCCUUCGGGUUGUAAAGUUCUUUCGGUGAUGAGGAAGGCGAUUAGUUUAAGAGAUUAAUUGAUUGACGAUAAUCACAGAAGAAGCACCGGCUAACUCCGUGCCAGCAGCCGCGGUAAUACGGAGGGUGCGAGCGUUAAUCGGAAUGACUGGGCGUAAAGGGCACGCAGGUGGUGACUUAAGUGAGGUGUGAAAUCCCCGGGCUUAACCUGGGAACAGCAUUUCAGACUGGGUGACUAGAGUACUUUAGGGAGGGGUAGAAUUCCACGUGUAGCGGUGAAAUGCGUAGAGAUGUGGAGGAAUACCGAAGGCGAAGGCAGCCCCUUGGGAAGAUACUGACGCUCGAGUGCGAAAGCGUGGGGAGCAAACAGGAUUAGAUACCCUGGUAGUCCACGCUGUAAACGAUGUCGAUUUGGGGAUUGGGUGAAUACUUGGUGCCCGAAGCUAACGUGAUAAAUCGACCGCCUGGGGAGUACGGCCGCAAGGUUAAAACUCAAAUGAAUUGACGGGGGCCCGCACAAGCGGUGGAGCAUGUGGUUUAAUUCGAUGCAACGCGAAGAACCUUACCUACUCUUGACAUCCUAAGAAGCCGCCAGAGAUGGUGGUGUGCCUUCGGGAGCUUAGAGACAGGUGCUGCAUGGCUGUCGUCAGCUCGUGUUGUGAAAUGUUGGGUUAAGUCCCGCAACGAGCGCAACCCUUAUCCUUUGU